CCUACGGGAGGCAGCAGUGGGGAAUCUUGGACAAUGGAGGCAACUCUGACCCAGCAACGCCGCGUGAAGGAAGAAGGCCUUAGGGUUGUAAACUUAUGUUGUAAAGGAAGAAAAGAAUGACGGUACUUUACAAUAAAUCCCAGGCUAACUAUGUGCCAGCAGCCGCGGUAAGACAUAGGGGGCAAGCGUUGUUCGGAAUUACUGGGCGUAAAGGGAGCGUAGGCGGGGGAUUAAGUUAGGUGUGAAAGCCUUGGGCUCAACCCAAGAAAUGCUCUUAAUACUGGUUUGCUAGAGUGCGGGAGAGGUAAGUGGAAGUCCUUGUGUAGCGGUAGAAUGCGUAGAGAUUAGGAGGAACAUCAGAGGCGAAGGCGGCUUACUGGACCAUAACUGACGCUGAGGCUCGAAAGCGUGGGGAGCAAACAGGAUUAGAUACCCUGGUAGUC
rnacentral:rRNA from 1 species